GCAGCCCCGAUCCCUAGGCCCGCGCCGCGCCCGCCUACCUCCUCCCCGCUGUAGCGGGCCAGCUCUUCCUCGGUGAAGAGCCGCACCGGGGGCCCCCGCUCGGCGGGGCGCGGCGCCUGCCCGGCCUGGGCUGCGGGCAGCCCCGGGGCCAGCGCCAGGACCAGGACCAGCGCUGCCAGCGGCCGCAGCCGCCACCCGGGCGCCGGGCCCGCCAUGGAAUGGAUGAGAUAGUCAAGGAAAUCUACGUGGGGAGAGAGGAAGAGGCGAGGACCAAGGCCUGAGAUCUUCGGGCCUGCCAACGUUUGGUGGUUGGAAGAACUGGCAAAGGAGACCACAGAAGGGCUUACUGUGCGAGAAACAGGGCCUUACUAAGUUGCUGCAGCUGGCUUUGAACUUUCGAACCUCCUGCCUCCCCUCGUGAGCCACUGUGAUUACAGGUACCCAGGAUUGAAUUCAGAGGCACCUAACCACUGAGCUGCAAAGCAGAAAUAGACAACCUCACUAGGAAACAAUGGAAAAUAAUCAAUAAGAAAUGCUGGACUGGGUGGCUAUGGCAGAGUUGGUGAAAAGCUGCUGCAGGGGAGAACUACAAGCUGGAAGGCUUAAAAACAACAGGAAUUUAUUCCCUCAAGAUCUGGAAGCUAGAAGUUUGAAGUCAAAGUCUCAACAAGGCCAUGCACUAGCUUCUGUUGGCAGCUGGAAAUAAUUGGAAUACUGCCAAUUGCUUGGCCAAGGGAUAGAGCCAGACCCCAGGAGCUGUGACCUAUAACCAAGUUGUGAAUAAAUGAAGUCACUUU